UAAUACAUGCAAGUCGAACGGUAACAGGUCGCUGUGAUCCCUUCGGGGUGAACUUGAUGCUGACGAGUGGCGGACGGGUGAGUAAUGCUUGGGAAUCUGCCCAGCAGCGGGGGACAACUCGAAGAAAUUCGAGCUAAUACCGCAUACGCCCUACGGGGGAAAGGUGGGGACCUCUUCGGAGGCCUGCCACUGCUGGAUGAGCCUGCGUUGGAUUAGCUUGUUGGUGAGGUAAUGGCUCACCAAGGCGACGAUCCAUAGCUGGUCUGAGAGGAUGAUCAGCCACACUGGGACUGAGACACGGCCCAGACUCCUACGGGAGGCAGCAGUGGGGAAUAUUGGACAAUGGGCGCAAGCCUGAUCCAGCAAUGCCGCGUGUGUGAAGAAGGCCUUAGGGUUGUAAAGCACUUUCAAUUGGGAAGAAAGCAUCCGGUUAACUACCCAGGUGUCUUGACGGUACCUUUACAAGAAGCACCGGCUAACUCCGUG
rnacentral:rRNA from 1 species